GACGAACGCUGGCGGCGUGCCUAAUACAUGCAAGUAGAACGCUGAGGUUUGGUGUUUACACUAGACUGAUGAGUUGCGAACGGGUGAGUAACGCGUAGGUAACCUGCCUCAUAGCGGGGGAUAACUAUUGGAAACGAUAGCUAAUACCGCAUAAGAGUAAUUAACACAUGUUAGUUAUUUAAAAGGAGCAAUUGCUUCACUGUGAGAUGGACCUGCGUUGUAUUAGCUAGUUGGUGAGGUAAAGGCUCACCAAGGCGACGAUACAUAGCCGACCUGAGAGGGUGAUCGGCCACACUGGGACUGAGACACGGCCCAGACUCCUACGGGAGGCAGCAGUAGGGAAUCUUCGGCAAUGGACGGAAGUCUGACCGAGCAACGCCGCGUGAGUGAAGAAGGUUUUCGGAUCGUAAAGCUCUGUUGUUAGGGAAGAACGUUGGUAGGAGUGGAAAAUCUACCAAGUGACGGUAACUAACCAGAGAGGGACGGCUAACUACGUGCCAGCAGCCGCGGUAAUACGUAGGUCCCGAGCGU
rnacentral:rRNA from 1 species